rnacentral:rRNA from 1 species
GAUGAACGCUAGCGAUAGGCCUAACACAUGCAAGUCGAGGGGCAUCACAUGAAGUAGCAAUACGGAUGGUGGCGACCGGCGCACGGGUGAGUAACACGUAUGCAACCUGCCUUCAACAAGGGGAUAACCCGUUGAAAGACGGACUAAUACCCUAUAACACAGGGGUCCCGCAUGGGAAUAUUUGUAAAGGACAACCGGUUGAAGAUGGGCAUGCGUUCCAUUAGCUAGUUGGCGGGGUAACGCCCACCAAGGCAACGAUGGAUAGGGGAACUGAGAGGUUUAUCCCCCACACUGGUACUGAGACACGGACCAGACUCCUACGGGAGGCAGCAGUGAGGAAUAUUGGUCAAUGGACGCAAGUCUGAACCAGCCACGUCGCGUGAAGGAAGACGGCCCUACGGGUUGUAAACUUCUUUUGUAAGGGAAUAAAGUGUAGUAACGCGUACUAUUUUGCAUGUCCUUACGAUAAGGAUCGGCUAACUCCG